rnacentral:rRNA from 1 species
GAUGAACGCUGGCGGCGUGCCUAAUACAUGCAAGUCGAGCGAGCGGCAGACGGGUGAGUAAUGUCUGGGAAACUGCCCGCUGGUGGGGGAUAACUACUGGAAACGGUAGCUAAUACCGCAUACCAUCAGAUGUGCCCAGAGGGGAUUCGCUAGUGGGUGGGGUAAUGGCUCACCUAGGCGACGAUCCCUAGCUGGCCUGAGAGGAUGACCAGCCACACUGGAACUGAGACACGGUCCAGACUCCUACGGGAGGCAACAGUGGGGAAUAUUGCACAAUGGGCGCAAGCCUGAUGCAGCCACGCCGCGUGUGUGAAGAAGGUCUUCGGGUUGUAAAGCACUGUUAGCGGAGAGGCGUUACUCGCAGAAGAAGCACCGGCUAACUCCGUGCCAGCAGCCGCGGUAAUAC